AUUAGGCAAAAGGCUCAUUCAAGCCACUGUGAAGUAGUCCAAUAGUCAUAUAAGUCUCGAUCAAUCCAUUUGGUCCAUUUAAACCCUUAAAAAUUUUAAAAAAUAGUAAUAAGGCCCAAAUUUUUCUUUAACUGAUCAAAUAAGUCCAAAAAACAUCAUAUGCACAUCACGUGAUAAACAUAAAUUAAUAGCUCAGUCAUUUCUUUGCAUCUUGUAACUUCUCUUCAAUUCCUUUCAUUUCUUGCUCUAGGGAUUCUAGUUCCUUCUUCCCCUUUGCCUUUAACUUUUCCACAUCUUCCUCUCACUUGUUUCGCUUUACCUUUAAAACAGCUUCCGAUUCCAGCAACUUCCUUAGUGAUGAAAUUCUUGGUUCCAUACCCGGUUGCAAUGGUGUUAAUAUUACUGAAUGGGUUCAGGAGGAGAAAGU
rnacentral:misc_RNA from 1 species